AUUGAACGCUGGCGGCAGGCUUAACACAUGCAAGUCGAGCGGAGAGAGGUAGCUUGCUACUGAUCUUAGCGGCGGACGGGUGAGUAAUGCUUAGGAAUCUGCCUAUUAGUGGGGGACAACAUUUCGAAAGGAAUGCUAAUACCGCAUACGUCCUACGGGAGAAAGCAGGGGAUCUUCGGACCUUGCGCUAAUAGAUGAGCCUACGUCGGAUUAGCUAGUUGGUGGGGUAAAGGCCUACCAAGGCGACGAUCUGUAGCGGGUCUGAGAGGACGAUCCGCCACACAGGGAGUGGGACACGGCCCGGACUCCUACUGGAGGCAGCAGUGGGGAAUAUUUGACAAUGGGCGCAAGGCUGAUCCAGCCAUGCCGCGUGUGUAAAGAAGGCCUUAUGGUUGUAAAGCACUUUAAGCGAGGAGGAGGCUACUUUAGAUAAUACCUAGAGAUAGUGGACGUUACUCGCAGAAUAAGCACCGGCUAACUCUGUGCCAGCCGCCGCGGUAACAC
rnacentral:rRNA from 1 species